GAAGAAACAUUGUGUAGGAGAUGGCCCCGUGAUCUUAAAAGCAGCUGUGCAGGAAGUGGCAGCAAGCAAGGACCUCUCUCUGCCUUCUAAUCUUGGCCCCGUGUCAUUUAUUCAUCCUUCAUUCAGUUCUGCGUCCUUCCUUCCAUUUAUUUUUUCACCAUUUUACGCUACCACGAAGACAAGUUUUUAACAUGUCCAUCCUGUGAAGAAGAGAUUGGGGUCUCUAAGAAAAAGAGAUUCUCCUGGACAAGUCUUCUUGUUUUCUAUUUUUUUAACCUAAGAAAUUCCCAAGGAAAUCGGGGCCCUUUGGGGAACCCUUUUUAAAGCUAAGAGGGCUUGCCAGAAGAGCAGUUUAUAGGGAGAGAGGAGAUAAGAGGUCGUGAACGUAGUCUGGAACACUGGAAACAGGAAAGUGGUUGAUAUUAACAGAGCCUAGCAGGACCUCUCCUGGAGGUGUGCUCCCCUCCAAGAAUCCUGCUCACACCCAUCCCCGACUCCUCAAAACACCUUCUUGAGGUACCUAGGGCCAGUCCUAAGAACGUUUACUCUGCUUGCCGUGAACGAACCACCCCAAAGUUGGGGAAUGGUUUCACCCACUUGUCCUUUAGUUUCCUUUUCUCUAAGUGCCUAGAGGUACUUUCCACAACUGCAUUGAUCUUGGCAGGAAUCGACAUCAUGUUACUCGUUUCACAGAACAUCCUGACAGAAAGCAACUGUGAGGAGAAAGGAGUUUAUUUGGCUUACAAGUCCAAGUUCAAGGCAGCCUUAUGGGGGAGUCCAGACAAGAACUUCAAACAGCUGGUUACCUCACAUCUACAGACAAGAGGAGGGCAAAACGUAAAUGCAUUGGAGCAUCUGGAAAGGGCUGGACCAACAAAGGAAGACCCUCUCUGAAUGUGACUGGAACCAUCCCAUUGGCCAGGCUCCCAGGCUGAACAAGAAGGGGGAAAUGAGAAAGCAAGUUGAACACCCAUGUUCAUUGCUCUGCUCAGGACCGUGGACAGUGUGGUCAGCUGCCUCUCAGUCUGUCUGUCAUUCACCUUUCAUUUGUUUUCUUGUAGCAAUGGAAAUCAGUAACUAAUACCUGUAUGUGGUCUAUAUUGAUCUUUCUGGUGAGGAUGAGUAAGAGAAAGGAAUAGUCCAUAAUCCAGAGAAUGUUGGUUAAGGUGUUUGAUGAGAUUGGGAGGGAUUCAGCAAAGUGUAAGGGUUCAUAGACAGGUAGUAAGGUACAAGAAUGACAGG